rnacentral:rRNA from 1 species
UACGAAGGACCCGAGCGUUAUCCGGAUUUAUUGGGUUUAAAGGGUGCGUAGGCGUCCCUAUAAGUUACGGUUGAAAUCUCCUCGCUCAACGAGGAAACUGGCCGUAAAACUGUAGGGAUUGAGUACACUUGAAGCGGGCGGAAUGUGUCAUGUAGCGGUGAAAUGCUUAGAUAUGACACAGAACACCGAUUGCGAAGGCAGCUCGCUAAAUUGUAACUGACGCUGAGGCACGAAAGCGUGGGGAUCAAACAGGA